rnacentral:rRNA from 1 species
GAUGAACGCUGGCGGCGUGCCUAAUACAUGCAAGUCGAGCGAACAGACGAGGAGCUUGCUCCUCUGACGUUAGCGGCGGACGGGUGAGUAACACGUGGAUAACCUACCUAUAAGACUGGGAUAACUUCGGGAAACCGGAGCUAAUACCGGAUAAUAUAUUGAACCGCAUGGUUCAAUAGUGAAAGACGGUUUUGCUGUCACUUAUAGAUGGAUCCGCGCCGCAUUAGCUAGUUGGUAAGGUAACGGCUUACCAAGGCAACGAUGCGUAGCCGACCUGAGAGGGUAACCGGCACAAUGGAACUGAGGCACCGGUCCAAACUCUACGGGGGGCAAGAGGUAGGGAACUUCCCGAAAGGGGGGAAGGCCUGACGGAGCACCGCGGCGUGAGGAAUGAGGUUCUCGGAACCGAAAACCUCUUUUUUUGGGGAAAAACAAAUGUGUAAGUACCCAUCCCGGCUUGAACGGAACUAAAGCAGAAACCCCCGCCAACCUCCG